UACGUAGGGCGCAAGCGUUAUCCGGAAUUAUUGGGCGUAAAGAGCUCGUAGGCGGUUUGUCGCGUCUGCCUGUGAAAGACCGGGGCUCAACUCCGGUUCUGCAGUGGGUACGGGCAGACUAGAGUGAUGUAGGGGAGACUGGAAUUCCUGGUGUAGCGGUGAAAUGCGCAGAUAUCAGGAGGAACACCGAUGGCGAAGGCAGGUCUCUGGGCAUUAACUGACGCUGGAGGAGCGAAAGCAUGGGGAGCGAACAGG
rnacentral:rRNA from 1 species